CCCUGGUUAGCUCAGUUGGUAGAGCACUCCACCUCUAAUGGAGAGCCCCUGGUUCGGUACCCGGACCAGGCG
rfam:Ixodes scapularis strain Wikel colony gcontig_1108378876882, whole genome shotgun sequence.